rnacentral:rRNA from 1 species
CCCUUAGAUGUUCUGGGCCGCACGCGUGCUACACUGAUGCAUUCAACGAGUCUAAAACCUGGUCUGAUAGGGCUGGGUAAUCUUUUGAAAGCGCAUCGUGAUUGGGAUAGAUGAUUGCAAUUCUUCAUCUUCAACGAGGAAUGCCUAGUAAACGCAAGUCAUCAGCUUGCAUUGAUUACGUCCCUGCCCUUUGUACACACCGCCCGUCGCUCCUACCGAUUGAAUGAUCCGAUGAAUAUCAUGGGUUGAGAGUACGAAUGGGUUCGCUCAUUUCUGCUGCUCGAGAAGUGAAGUAAAUCUUAUCAUUUAGAGGAAGGAGAAGUCGUAACA